CCUACGGGAGGCAGCAGUGGGGAAUAUUGCACAAUGGGGGAAACCCUGAUGCAGCGACGCCGCGUGAGUGAAGAAGUAUUUCGGUAUGUAAAGCUCUAUCAGCAGGAACGAGACAAGACGGUACCUGACUAAGAAGCCCCGGCUAACUACGUGCCAGCAGCCGCGGUAAUACGGAGGGGGCAAGCGUUAUCCGGAAUCACUGGGUGUAAAGGGAGCGUAGACGGCUGAGCAAGCCUGAAGUGAAAGGCGGGGGGCCAACCCCCGGACUGCUUUGGGAACUGUACGGCUGGAGUGCAGGAGAGGUAAGUGGAAUUCCUAGUGUAGCGGUGAAAUGCGUAGAUAUUAGGAGGAACACCAGUGGCGAAGGCGGCUUACUGGACUGUAACUGACGUUGAGGCUCGAAAGCGUGGGGAGCAAACAGGAUUAGAUACCCCUGUAGUC
rnacentral:rRNA from 1 species